AUUACCCUCAACACUCUGAUAGCUGCAUUUCCCAUCAUUAUGGUUGGUGUCCUAACAGGUUCUUUCAUUGAGUUCUCAGUGAAAUAUUCCCCAUCUCCAGCUGAGAAAGCAACAUUUGGAGGAGUGUUUGGUGGAAUCAUAUUUAUGUUAAUCUUUUUAGUUAUAUUCCGAAGCGUCAACGUUAUGGUUUGGACAAAAUAUUUACAAGACAGAGAAAUAAUAGUGAAAAUACAUACCAUCAUAGCAGGAAUAACUGGAGUUAC